rnacentral:rRNA from 1 species
UGGGGGAAUAUUGCACAAUGGGGGGAAACCCGUACGAUGCAGCAACGCCGCGUGAGUGAAGAAGUAUUUCGGUAUGUAAAGACUCUAUCAGCAGGGAAGAAAAUAGACGGUACCUGACUAAGAAGCCCCGGCCUAACUACGUGCCAGCAGCCGCGGUAAUACGUAAGUUGCGAGCGUUGUUCGGAAUUAUUGGGCGUAAAGGGCAUGUAGGCGGUAUUGCAAGCCUGGUGUGAAAGGCAGGGGCUCAACCUCUGGACUGCGCUGGGAACUGCGAUACUAGAGUCGCUGAGGGGCAAUCAGAAUUCCAGGUGUAGGGGUGAAAUCUGUAGAUAUCUGGAAGAAUACCAAUGGCGAAGGCAGGUUGCCAGCAGAUGACUGACGCUGAGGUGCGAAGGUGCGGGGAGCAAAC